rnacentral:rRNA from 1 species
GAUGAACGCUGGCGGCGUGCCUAACACAUGCAAGUCGAACGGAGAUUUAACGCUGAUGAAGCUUCGGCAGAAUCUUGUUAAAUCUUAGUGGCGGACGGGUGAGUAACGCGUGGGCAACCUGCCUCAUACUGGGGGAUAACGGUUGGAAACGACUGUUAAUACCGCAUAAGCGCACGGUGUCGCAUGACACAGUGUGAAAAACUCCGGUGGUAGGAGAUGGGCCCGCGUCAGAUUAGCUAGUUGGUGAGGUAACGGCUCACCAAGGCGACGAUCUGUAGCCGGACUGAGAGGUCGGACGGCCACAUUGGGACUGAGACACGGCCCAAACUCCUACGGGAGGCAGCAGUGGGGGAUAUUGCACAAUGGAGGAAACUCUGAUGCAGCGACGCCGCGUGAGUGAAGAAGUAUUUCGGUAUGUAAAGCUCUAUCAGCAGGGAAGAAAGGCUCGCAAGAGAGAUGACGGUACCUGACUAAGAAGCCCCGGCUAACUACGUGCCAGCAGCCGCCGUAACAC